rnacentral:rRNA from 1 species
AGGGUUUGAUUCUGGCUCAGGACGAACGCUGGCGGCGUGCUUAACACAUGCAAGUCGAACGGAGCACCCUUGAUUGAGGUUUCGGCCAAAUGAUAGGAAUGCUUAGUGGCGGACUGGUGAGUAACGCGUGAGGAACCUGCCUUUCAGAGGGGGACAACAGUUGGAAACGACUGCUAAUACCGCAUGACGCAUUUUGAUCGCAUGGUCGAAAUGCCAAAGAUUUAUCGCUGAAAGAUGGCCUCGCGUCUGAUUAGCUAGUUGGUGAGGUAACGGCCCACCAAGGCGACGAUCAGUAGCCGGACUGAGAGGUUGACCGGCCACAUUGGGACUGAGAUACGGCCCAG